AAACAAUUCUCUUAGAGAAGACUUUUGCUCUGACAAUAUGGUAGAGUUUGCUGAAGUUUUGAAUCAUUGGCUUUGUCAGAAUUCCUCCCAUAAAAUUAUAUCCUUAAUACUGUUGAGCAUGGGCACUUUAAAAAGGGCUAGCUAGGCAUUGUUUCCCUGUGGUAGAUGAAAGCUUAGACUCCUCCCAUCAGGGAAGUCCAAACACCACUUCUUGAAACUGCUGCUUCUCUUCCUAGGCAGCAUCAGAAUUUUUAGGCUAAGACUAUGUAACCCUACCUGAAGCUCAGACUUCCAGCUGAGGUAGCAUUUUGACACCUAUAGGGUGAUCAAGUUAGACUCGGAGUUGGGGGACCCAUUCUCUGCGAAGCUGGUAUAUCUGGAUGUGUACAGUUGCUUUAACCUAGGGAAGGUAUGGCUUGGGGUCGACUUUGAACACCAUGCACAGGCUGUACUUGUGGCCAGACCUCAUUACGGCAGGUUUGCCAUUUUUUGUUCUGUGUCAACAUGAGCCUCUAGCAAGAGAAAUAGGUGCCCAGAGCAAGGGCCACACUGACUUCAGUGUAUCUGAGUAGAGCAUCAAAAACUCGUCAUGGAGGAUGGCUAAGGUAGAAGAGCUUGUCUCUGGAAACAGUGAAAGAGCCGUGUGAGAAUAUAACAGAUAGUGCAAGUCAUAGAGAAAGAAGAGGAUAUCCAAGAAGUGAUAGUGAAUCAAAUGUUUAAUCGUGUUUCUCAUUGCUGACCAAGGAGAUGUGUGCCCUUACUUAGGUCAUUUUCCCACAGAUAUCAGCUUCCUGUACUUUAAAAUAGACAUGUAGGACUGGUUAGUCAGAACUCUAGCCCCCGGCAGCUCUGUGUUGUAGGCUGUGUAAAGUGCAUCAGGAAGCAAGGUGAGGCUGAUCUAAUCACAGCCUCACGGUAGGACUCAAAGGGAAAGCACUGGGAAAGAGACACUCGAGAAAAUUCAUUAAAAAGUCACUACUUCCUCUCAUCUUAAAGAAGCAAGUCAAACACUGUAAAAAUAAAAACUAGAUGAAAUUAAACAUUAUUGCAAGACAUGAAAAACAUGUGUGCUGUCAUUCUGAGGAUCUGUAAUAAAGAUAAAUCAGUUGUUUUUAGCAGUGUGCUAUGUGUCUGUGAAGGGCACGACAGAUAAUAGGUUUGGAAUUUCUGAAGUUAUUGUACAGCAAAAUUUGUUUUUUUCCUCAGGCAUUCAAUCUUUUUUCUCUAGCAAUUUUGUACAUGACAAACUUUUUAGUGGUCGCAUUAAUAAUCUAUAAGUAAUGGGUUGUCAGGUGUCAGUUAGAGAUUAAAAGAUUGUUUAAGCAUUACCCAUUUGGUUCUUCGAAUGAGUUUUGUAGGUCAGGAGAAAUAACUUUCUGAAUUGUGGUUGUGUGUGUACACUGCCCCUCCCCCUUUCAUUUGGCUCCACGCCAGGUAUAUGUGAAAGAAUCAUAUUACAUUACAUAAAUCCUGCAUGUAGCAGCAGAUUUGAAACUCAUAUUGUGUGAGCCAAGGGGACGAAUCUCUAGGCUGUCGUCUGUAAAUGUAUUCGAAUUUGUCAAUGUUAUUCCUGAUCUUCUCAAAGGAACUUUGCAAGGGGAAAGAGACUCAGCUCAGAGGGGCUGUGAAGCUUUGCAAGGCAAGUCAGGCUUAGGUCUCUUCUUGUCAAAUCUGCCUUGAGUGUGUUUACAUAUCGUUUGCCUUCCUGGUAUUUUCUGCUUGCACCGACCUGAUCUCCACCUAUUUUGUGUCAACAAUUGCUGAGCCUGGUGUUGGGUGAUUAAGCACUAAGCAUCCAGCCCUGAGCUGGCUGAGACCCUCUUUCCCUCACUUACAUCACUGUCUUGCUUCAGGGCUGUGCCUACAGAAAACAAAUGGCAUAUUUGAGUGGCUAAAACAUCUGACUAAAAUAUUGAAAGUGGGGGCAAAUGUUGCCUCUUUGUUAUAUAAUACUUUUUUUUUCAAGAGUGGAGGGGGAGCAAGGGCCCCAGAGGAAGUCGAAUGCUUAAGGGUGAAUACCCAGGACCUGGUCUGUGCUGUUCCUGUGUGUGGAUGCCAUGGCUCUUUGUGGAGGAGCUUAGGGUUCUACCAGCUACAUUAAAAAAUACAUUCUAAGGACAGAAAACACAACAUUCAAAAAUAAAAACAUAUGGAAUGCAUGUCUGUAAUUUUGACAAAUACAGGGUUCACCAUCCAAUGGCACCAUGGUCAUUAAAAAUGGUUCUCUCCAUUUAUUUGCAUUCUUGCAAAGUUUUUAGGUUGGCAUACUGGUUUGGGGAAGUAAUUAACUCUGUCAUGCUAGUAACACCUCAACACUAACAAAUAAACAGCAAAAAUACUUAAUAUGUAUGAUAUCCUUAAAGGCACUAAUUGUUCUUUACCCUCUUAAAUAACUGGUGCCUUGCAAGAUUAGCCCCUAUCUUCAAAGAAGGGAAAAACUAUUUCCUUCCUCAAAUGCAUUAAUUCUUCCAGACUCGUAGUGAUUAUCCAUCUUGGGCCCUAACCGUAACUUU
rnacentral:lncRNA from 1 species